UGCAGUCGAACGCGAAAGUGGAGCAAUCCAUGAGUAGAGUGGCAAACGGGUGAGUAACGCGUGGGCGACCUGCCUUCGAGUGGGGGAUAACAUUCCGAAAGGGAUGCUAAUACCGCAUAACAUCCUUCGUUUAGAUACGAGGUGAUCAAAGCCGGGAGCAAUUCUGGCGCUUAAAGAGGGGCCCGCGUCCGAUUAGCUAGUUGGUGGGGUAACGGCCUACCAAGGCUUCGAUCGGUAUCCGGCCUGAGAGGGCGGACGGACACACUGGAACUGAGACACGGUCCAGACUCCUACGGGAGGCAGCAGUGGGGAAUUGUUCGCAAUGGGCGAAAGCCUGACGACGCAACGCCGCGUGGAGGAUGAAGACCUUCGGGUCGUAAACUCCUUUCGACCGAGAAGAAUGGCUCCCGACCUCAUACGUCGGGAGCAUGACGGUAUCGAGGGAAGAAGCCCCGGCUAACUCUGUGCCAGCAGCCGCGGUAAUACAGGGGGGGCAAGCGUUGUUCGGAAUUACUGGGCGUAAAGGGUUCGUAGGUGGCCAACUAAGUCAGACGUGAAAUCCCUCAGCUUAACUGGGGAACUGCGUCUGAUACUGGAUGGCUUGAGUGUAGGAGAGGAAUGCGGAAUUCCAGGUGUAGCGGUGAAAUGCAUAGAUAUCUGGAGGAACACCGGUGGCGAAGGCGGCAUUCUGGACUACAACUGACACUGAGGAACGAAAGCCAGGGGAGCAAACGGGAUUAGAUACCCCGGUAGUCCUGGCCCUAAACGAUGA
rnacentral:rRNA from 1 species